GUGGGGAAUAUUGGACAAUGGGCGAAAGCCUGAUCCAGCCAUGCCGCGUGUGUGAAGAAGGUCUUCGGAUUGUAAAGCACUUUAAGUUGGGAGGAAGGGCAGUAAGUUAAUACCUUGCUGUUUUGACGUUACCGACAGAAUAAGCACCGGCUAACUUCGUGCCAGCAGCCGCGGUAAUACGAAGGGUGCAAGCGUUAAUCGGAAUUACUGGGCGUAAAGCGCGCGUAGGUGGUUUUGUAAGUUGGAGGUGAAAUCCCCGGGCUCAACCUGGGAACUGCCUCCAAAACUGCAUGACUAGAGUACGGUAGAGGGUAGUGGAAUUUCCUGUGUAGCGGUGAAAUGCGUGGAUAUAGGAAGGAACACCAGUGGCGAAGGCGACUACCUGGACUGAUACUGACACUGAGGUGCGAAAGCGUGGGGAGCAAACAGGAUUAGAAACCCUAGUAGUCC
rnacentral:rRNA from 1 species